ncrna:unclassified sequences AdoCbl variant RNA
GUGUUGAAUAAGUGAGUGGGGAAUCAGUGUGAAAUUCAUUGGCUGUGCCUGCAACCGUAAAGUCGGAGCGCCACCCAACAU